rnacentral:rRNA from 1 species
UAGGGAAUCUUCCACGAUGGACGCAAGUCUGAUGGAGCAACGCCGCGUGAGUGAAGAAGGGUUUCGGCUCGUAAAGCUCUGUUGUUAAAGAAGAACGUGGGUAAGAGUAACUGUUUACCCAGUGACGGUAUUUAACCAGAAAGCCACGGCUAACUACGUGCCGG